GCAAAAUUUGAGUUACAGCUCAACUCAACUGAAAGUCUUAAACUAAAUUACAUAUGGAGCCUUCAAACUGCUUUUGCAUGAUUGUAAUUUGCUGUAUCUUAAUUGAAAUGAGUGAAAUUAGGUCCUAAAUUAGUGACUAUGCAGUUGUCUGCAUUUUUCUUCUUUUCCCAGCAAUAGACAGCUUCUUCAAGUUUUGGUGCUUCUUGGGGAUGUUGG
rnacentral:misc_RNA from 1 species